AGAGUUUGAUCCUGGCUCAGAUUGAACGCUGGCGGCAUGCCUUACACAUGCAAGUCGAACGGUAGAGGGGCAACCCUUGAGAGUGGCGAACGGGUGAGUAAUAUAUCGGAACGUGCCCAGUCGUGGGGGAUAACGCAGCGAAAGCUGCGCUAAUACCGCAUACGAUCUAAGGAUGAAAGCGGGGGAUCGCAAGACCUCGCGCGAUUGGAGCGGCCGAUAUCAGAUUAGGUAGUUGGUGGGGUAAAAGCCCACCAAGCCGACGAUCUGUAGCUGGUCUGAGAGGACGACCAGCCACACUGGGACUGAGACACGGCCCAGACUCCUACGGGAGGCAGCAGUGGGGAAUUUUGGACAAUGGGCGCAAGCCUGAUCCAGCAAUGCCGCGUGCAGGACGAAGGCCUUCGGGUUGUAAACUGCUUUUGUACGGAGCGAAACGGUCUGGGUUAAUACCCUGGGCUAAUGACGGUACCGUAAGAAUAAGCACCGGCUAACUACGNNNNNNNNCGCCGCGGUAAUAC
rnacentral:rRNA from 1 species